UAAAUUUCUAUUUAUUUCUAAAACAAUUGGUAUUUCAGUUGAAUAAUUUUGUAUAUCUAUCAGAGCAUCUUCUACUUGAGAGUUCAUUUUUUAAACAAUUAUUUCGAUAUUUACGUUUUAUCAUUGCCUGAUGUCAUUACAUCAUCACGUCAUUGGAAUGCGGGACACGUCUAUUGAAUAGGAAGUUAAGUUUAAAUUAUAUUAUAAGACAACAAAGAUGUUGUAGCUUGAUGCAUAAAUAAAUGUUACUAAGGUGCUCCCAGAAGUCCUCACGGUCUUAUCAUAGAGCACCGCGGAAGAGCAUUUAACACAGAAACAGGGAAGUUCAAGUACAUGAGGAUGUUUUCAUAAGAGGUUGUCCCAUGGAAGUAUUAAAACAGGAAGUUCAACCGCAUUAUUAAAAUAGGAAGUUCAACCGACUAUGCAUGUAGAAUUUUGUUUUGUAAACAAACAA